rnacentral:lncRNA from 1 species
GCUACUUUGCUACACAAGUUCAAACUAUCAUGCUACCAGGCCUUCUAGAUACAAGGGUAGUAGUUAACUCUAAGAAGUGCAUUUUGCACUCUGGGUUCUCUGCUGCCCCUCGCAUGAAGGUCUUGGAUAACCAUCCUCACAAGUACCUUAAGCUCCCUAGAUUUUCCCUGGAAAAUUCUCAAGUUCCUUUCCUGCCAAAUGACAUACACACAGGCAGCUAAACUUGCUCUAUAGAGCAUAGCCUACGGUUGUUUGCCUCUACAAUGAUUUAUCACCUACGCUACUUCUUCCUCCCAUUUAGCAGGUGACCUUCCCACUCCUUGCCAUGAAAGAACCAGGUUCCAUAGGUGCGCAGAGAAAGUACAUUGAAAAAAUAAAUGACUAAUACUUUCAGGUUCACUUCCACAUAACACACACAUCUCAUCUUCAAUACAUCCCCACUUUACUAGUCUAUCUUUGGUCAGUAAUUCACCAAGCAGUCCCAAAAAGUAGCCACAUUCUUCCAGCUACCUAGCUACUUUGCUACACAAGUUCAAACUAUCAUGCUACCAGGCCUUCUAGAUACAAGGGUAGUAGUUAACUCUAAGAAGUGCAUUUUGCACUCUGGGUUCUCUGCUGCCCCUCGCAUGAAGGUCUUGGAUAACCAUCCUCACAAGUACCUUAAGCUCCCUAGAUUUUCCCUGGAAAAUUCUCAAGUUCCUUUCCUGCCAAAUGACAUACACACAGGCAGCUAAACUUGCUCUAUAGAGCAUAGCCUACGGUUGUUUGCCUCUACAAUGAUUUAUCACCUACGCUACUUCUUCCUCCCAUUUAGCAGGUGACCUUCCCACUCCUUGCCAUGAAAGAACCAGGUUCCAUAGGUGCGCAGAGAAAGUACAUUGAAAAAAUAAAUGACUAAUACUUUCAGGUUCACUUCCACAUAACACACACAUCUCAUCUUCAAUACAUCCCCACUUUACUAGUCUAUCUUUGGUCAGUAAUUCACCAAGCAGUCCCAAAUAAAGGAUGAAAAUCCAUUUAGGACAAGCUGUAGUAUUGCAUAUCAAUCUCCUCCACUCCACCUUCUGAUAUUCUCCUCUUAGCUUCUGAUAUAGACUCUUUAUCAAAAAUCUCUCAAUCUGUUGCACUGCUAGCUCAGUCCAUCCAGCUGCUUCAAAGGUUUUAGUUGCCUGCAUUAUUUUCCCCACAAGCCAUGAUGCCUGAAGAGCUUGAACCCCCCAUGUUGUUCCCUGUUUCCCAUAAUAUAAGUGAACCCACUUCACCCAUAAUCUAUCUUUCUUCUUGCAUAAGUUCCAUAGAAGUUUGCUAAUUGCUGCUCUAUUCCAUGUCUGAAUAUCAAGAAAGUUCAAACCCCCUACUGCAUAAGGCCUACAUAACUGUUCCCAAGCAACCAGAGCUUUUUUAGAUAUGUCAACUCCUCCAGACCACAAAAAGUUUCUGCAUAAAGCUUCAAUACACUUUACAACUUUUUUGGGCAUAAUGAUUAUCUGAGACCAGAACACUUGGACGGAGAAUAAUAUACUUUUGAUGAGUUGAGCUCUGCCAGCAUAGGAUAGUAAUCUAGAAGUCCAACUCACAAUUUCCCCCAUAAUCUUGUCAAUUAAAGGUUGGUAUUGUAGGAUAGACACUUUUUUGGUACUUAGUGGCACACCUAAGUACCUAAAAGGUAAACUACCCUGUACAAAUUUAAGACUCUGUAAUACCUCUGUCUGAACCUUUUUUGGGACUCCACCAAAAUAUAUGGAGCUCUUCUCAUUGUUUGCAACCAAUCCUGAUAUUUGUGAGAACUCCAUGAAUACUCCAUAUAAUAAUCUGACUGAUAACGCAUCUCCUCUGCUGAACAAUAGUAAAUCAUCUGCAAAGCUUAAUUGGAUAAUUUGAAGUCUCUCACAUUUUGGGUGGUAAUUAAAAUUAGGAAUACCCCUCAGUUUCUUCAGCAGCCUAGAUAGAUAUUCCAUUAUCAACACAAACAGGUAUGGAGAUAAUGGAUCCCCCUGUCUCAAUCCUUUCUUGGUAGGAAAAGGAACACUGGGACAACCAUUUAUCAGGAUGGAAUAUAAUACAGUACUAAUACACUGAUAAAUCCAUUCCACAAACUUCUGAGGGAAUUGCAGUAACUCUAAAACCUGUCUCAGGUAUCCCCAUUCAACUGAGUCAUAAGCUUUCUUCAUAUCUAUUUUUAACAUACAUCAUGGGGAAAUUUGUUUUCUACCAUAGCCUUUGACUAAUUCAUUCCUCAGUAUAAUAUUAUCAUUUAUUAGUCUUCCAGGUACAAAAGCAGAUUGAUUUUGGUCUACUAAAUCAUUCAUAACCCCCUGUAGUCUAUUGGUGAGAAUCUUAGCAAUAAUUUUAUAGAGCAAAGUACAGCAAGAGAUAGGUGUAUAUUCAGUGAUUCUAUAUGGUCUAGCUGUUUUUGGCGCUAGGGUCACAGUAGUAUAAUUUAUGGCUUUGUACAUUCUACCUGAGUUGAAGAACUCCAGGACUGCAUCUGUGAUCUCUUCCCCCACGAUGUGCCAUGACUGCUUGAAGAACAGGGCAUUGAAUCCAUCACAUCCUGGUGCUUUAUCAUCCCUUAUCCCCUGCAGAGCAUCCCUAACUUCUUAUCGUAAUACAGGCUCAACUAAAUGGAGUUGUUGAGCUCUAUUUAGAGUUUGACCAUCCCUCAUAACCACUGGAUUCACAGCAGGUAAACUAUUAGCACUAGUUCACAAUAGUUGUUUAUAGAAAUUCAGGAUCUCUCUUUCUAUGCCACAUCUCUUAGUCACCACCACUCCUUCAUUUGUAUUCAGACUUGUAAUACCAUUCU